rnacentral:lncRNA from 1 species
CACAGGUUAGCCCUUCCCCAGAGGGGAGAGGAGAGGGCACAGGUUAGCCCUUCCCUACACAGGAGAGGAGAGGGCACAGGUUAACCCUUCCCCAGAGGGGAGAGGAGAGGGCACAGGUUAGCCCUUCCCCAGAGGGGAGAGGAGAGGGCACAGGCUAGCCCUUCCCCACACAAGAGAGGAGAGGGCACAGGUUAGCCCUUCCCCACAGGGGAGAGGAGACGGCACAGGUUAGCCCACCACCCAUCCACAUACAUGGAAAGAGCAGAGUCCAGCUUAGCACAGAGACUCACAGGAAAGAAGAGUCCAGGUUAACCCCUCCUUGUGUAGAAAAAGUCAGGAAUGCCCAGGUUAGCCCCUUUCCACAGAGACAGAAGAGAAGAGCAAAGGUUAGACCAGGACAGCCACAAGGAAGAGGACAGAACUCAGGUUAACCCUCCUCACCAAGGAAAAAUCAGGCUACCCUUUUUUUUUUUUUUUGAGACGGAGUCUCCCUCUGUCACCCAGGCUGGACUGCAGUGGCCGGAUCUCAGCUCACUGCAAGCUCCGCCUCCCAGGAGAAUCACUUGAACCUGGGAGGCAGAGGUUGCAGUGAGCUGAGUUGACGCCACUACACUCCAGCCUGGCUGACAGAGUGAGAUUCUGUCUCAAAAAACAAACAAACAAAAAGAAAGAGAGACACAGAGAGCGAAGUGGAGGCGGGCGGCACAGAGGGGAUUGGGGGAGGACCUGGGCCCCAGCCCCAGUCACAGUAGCCUGGCCUGGGGAG